UAUAAUAAAAGAAUAACUAAUGGACAUUAAGUUUUUUUCUUUAAUUUUCUUUUUUUUUUUCAUCCUAAAAUUUCGAUGUUCUUGGGUCCUUUGGGUCAAACUCGACGUCUCAACUCUCCUUGAUCUUUCUCCCGUCUCGUCUCCAUUUAUAUAAAGCUCAUGUGUAUAUAUAGAUAGAUAUCGAGUUUUAGCGAAAGCGGUCUCUCUUUCUAUAUAUGUGUGCAAGGAUAUGGGAGAGAUAGAUGGAUGGAUGGAUUAACAGUCGUUGUUUGCGGGAGUAGCAUCAUCAAGAUUCACAUGCAACUGCACGGUGGCGAUGAUAAUAAUACUAACUCUCUUUCCUCUUUCUCCUUUCUUCCCUCCCUGUCCUAAAUUUUAUUGCCAAACAUCUUUGAAAGUGAGAAUCUUGAUGAUGCUGCAUCGGCAAUAAACGACUAUACAAAACAAGGAAAAAAAAAUUAUACGAGUCUUUCGAGAUAUCUCAGUUGCAAAUGUACAGUUUUGCACUUGUCAACAAAAAGAAGUUGAUUCUUUCUUUGCAACUUCCCCCACCUUCUAUUGUUUUCUGUUGUUGUCAGGUGGGUUUUUAUUUUUCUUUUAUACCAGUCUUGAUUUCACGGGCUAAUCUUUAAGUACUAAUGAAGGGUUUCUCCAUAAAAUGGAUUUGAUGCUUUUAUUACACGGCCUUUCUCUUUUUCUUUUUUUCGCUUUGCAGGGUAUGUUAAGCCUAACGAAUAGUGAAUACUAGGGUGUUUCUAAAGGACUUUGACUUGUAGAUCUAUGAUUAUUCUUCUGAGUCAAAUAAACUGCUACAGUGGAAAUGGGUACCUUUUCAUGGAGAACAGACUUUGCCCUGCAACCGAAAAAGAUGGGAGCCUUGACAUAAGAAGCUCUUAAGAGAAUAUGUCAAAAAGAUAUACAGGCAAAGGAACAAUCUUUCUGGUCUAAUGAGCUUCGAUGAAAGCUAAACAAGCUAGGGAUGGUCGGCUCCAGGAGUGGUUCAAGCAGAAACUGUGGAAAGAAGGGUUAGAGAAAUGAGGUAUAUACUAGAUUUGUUUGUUUAUGGGAUUUGAUGAUAUCAGCUAAAUAGCUUACUGCUAAAAUUUUGGUUCUUCCCACCACCUUUGUCUUCACUAGGGAAAAAGAUUCAAAAGAAAUUUGAUUACAUACUUUAUAAAAACAAAACAUUGUGGGCAUUUUUCCAAGUGGAUUAUAACUGUAGAAUCAGUAGAUCGUUGAAAAAUGGAACUGCUGUCCGGAACUUCAUGUGUGGAGGAGAGAUGAUGGUGGGAACAUGUCACAUUGCCAUUGCCAUUGCCAUUGUUUUGAGUUUGAUGGGCUUUUGCACUAAUCAGCCAUCACCCUUUGUUGGUGGACCAUCCACCAGAGGCGCAUCUUUGCAACUUGGACCCUGAAACAUGUUCUCUCUUUCUCUCUCAGACUAUCCAGCCCCACCUAUAUGUCAUCCCUUUCAAUAAUACACGUAACACAUUAACUUGCUUCAUAAAAGUCUCUAAAUUUGCUUCUUCAGUCAUGAAAGGGAUAAUUCAGUGUGUGUAAAAUUAUGGAUAUCCGUGUGCCUCUAUCACUUUCCAAGCUUUGGUAAUCAUAUAUAUGUAUAUGUUAAAGGUAUAUGCCCAUAGUUUCUUUCAGCUAAGUUCCUUACUGCUGCAUUAAUUCUAAGCCAAAACUGACACGAAAAGUUUGGCCCACUAAUUAUCAACUCUAACACCGUAUAACCUUAUUAUAAGUUACUAAUUCUGGGAAAUCCUUUUUUUACAGUCUGUUCUACUUUAAAGAGAAAUAAAGCGUUAAGCGAAGAAAGUAGCAGUACUACGUCGUUAGCAUGCGUAGUGUGAAUCAACUUUCCUUUUGCAUGUUGUAAUUUCAAUGUUUCCAUCUGUUAGAAAUGGGGUUCUUCUCUAGAUUUGGCUUAUAGGUCUUAUGAAGCUCUUAGUUUUACUUUGGUUCGAAAAGCAUUUAGAAUUUAUAUAUAUUAUAUGUUAAACAAGUUCUUAGAAGAAAAAAUAUUUCAGGGUUUUCUGUGUAUAUAUUGUGGUCUAGCAAGUAUUACAUAUGGAAAUUUGUAAUGAGUGGGCAUUGGAACUUGGGCCUUUAGCUUUGUUUUCUUCUCUAAUCUUUAUUUUGAUCCGUUUAGUUCUCUCCCGUGAGUGAGUGUAGUCAUCCACUCAUCAUUAUACCUUGGAUUAUAUCCGUCUCUCCUAUUUUUAUGGCAGUUAUUUGAACAUUAUAUACUUACACAGUUUCUUAUCGACUUCUGUUUAUUCAUUUAUGACAGUCAAAUCAACAACUUAAAUGUUCUUAUAUUUCAUGUUCAGAAGUUGAUUAACAAGCUAGCUUACAAAAUAUACUUUGUGCUAUUUUUUCAGUUUGACUUUUGGGAUAUUAUACUUGAGUAGUUGUGAAAGAAUAGUUCUCCCACAAACUCAAUGAUCAAUAGCUGAACCAAGUAAACUUCAAUCGUUAGUUCCUUCAUAUUUGCUUAGAAUGCUUUUUACAAAACUCACUGAAUAAUUUUAAACCUAAUAAACUUGAAAUCAUGUUAUUUCAAACUUUUAUAAUAGUUAGCUGGUAAAUAUAUAUAUCGUAUAUUCUUCCUUAAAAGCAUUGCAAAUGCUUGUUUGAGAGAAAUUAUUCUGAAAUUCUUGUUCAUCAACUCUGACUGGUACUCAUAUGAAACAUUACCCUUACCAUCUGCUUUAAUCUUAAUAAUCAUCAGAAUUACAGAUGCUCAUGGAUUAGAAAAUUGAAGUCUCAUCUUAUCAUUAGUUAAUGGUGGCCCCAUUUUAAUUUUUCUCUCGUUCUCCAAAAGAAAGACAAGGAUGCAUUGAUACCGUACAAUGGCUGCAGCUAGUACACAUAUGCAGUAACAGGAAUCACUAUAUAUAUAUAUAUAUAUAUUUCUUUUUCUCAUAUAUAUCUGCUAAAACAAGAAGCCAGUUAUAAGAGUGGAAUAUUUUCAAGCUUAGCCUAAAGCAUUAGCUUAUCAUGAUAUUGUGGUUUUUAUCAUACUUGUUACUCUAUUUGAGAUCUUCUCUUAUUUCUCACCGCCUUAUAUGUUGGUUCACAAACUGUAAGCUUAGUAAUACUCCAGUCCAAAAUGACUUAAUAUUUUCCCCUUUCAGCAAACAUUGUUGACUAUGAAAUACAACAGUUUAUCUAAUCAAAUUACAACCCAAUUUUCCCCUUGUCUACUGUAACAUAUUUUAGUACACGUGUAUGAUAAUUUUACUUUGUAUUGUCAUCUCUUGCAGUGUUAAUUGUGUAUAUAUAAAUGAGUUGGCAUCCUAAAGUCUAAGCUUGUGCUCAAUCAAUAGACUUGUUCGUUCUUGUACUUAUAUCUCUUAUCUAUCGGUCAUUUUUUGAGACAUGACCGAAUAUAUAUCGAUAUGAUUCAUUCUCCUUUCAGCUAUUCUUAAUGCACAUCUGAAAAUCUAAAGUACUGGUUAUAAUCAAGCACUACAUAUGCCUAGGGCAUCUUAGCUAUAGGAACCAUGUCUAAUAAAAACAUUAGUACUGCAGCUGUGAUGGAAGAAAGAAAUCUAAUUGUAGGAUUCACCAGCUGGGACUCAGAGGUAAAUUAGUAUUUUGUCAACAAAAUAUUUCGCAGUAAUGAUUUCUAUAAGUGGUCCUACUACUUUGUAAAACAUAUUCUUGUGGUGAGAUUCCAUGUCAUGUCGUGUUAUAGGCUGUCCGCUGGUACACUUGGAUUAUGAUGAUUUUCAGUUCUUUUGCAGAAUUAAUGCUGUAAUGUUAGUUAUGCUGUGAUCUAGUUAAGUUGUCAUUUAGAUAUUUUUUCAUCAAAUUAUUUUUGUUAGUUUUUUAUUGUUUUCCGAGGUUGGGAACGGGGUUAAGCAAAAAGUAUGAUUUCUCUAUGAUUCCAUCGUUUCCAUGGCAAAUCAAUUAAAAGAGAGGCAAUGCUUGGUUGUAGCUACUGGAUUUGACAUCUUCACUGUUUCUCAAACUUUUUCAAAUGCUGGAUGGGUCAUAGAGAAUCGAACUGCUUUGCAAAAGGUGGAGUGGAUGGCUCCAAUAUCUUCAUGUUCUUGUUGCUGUGCUUAUGCUGGUUGGAUGGUAUUGCUUUGCUGGUUGCUAUGUGGGCUGCCGUUCCAGCUUUCGGGGUUGUUUGAAUUGUCUUCGUCUUCGGUGGACUAUUUUGUUGUUGAUGAUGUUAUUCACAGGACUGUAGGGCCUGCUUGCGUGGUAAUAUUGUUUGCUGUAAUACCUUUUUACCUUCAAUAAUAUCAAUAAAAUUUUCAGAGCAAA